GACGAACGCUGGCGGCGUGCCUAAUACAUGCAAGUAGAACGCUGAAGGAGGAGCUUGCUUCUCCGGAUGAGUUGCGAACGGGUGAGUAACGCGUAGGUAACCUGCCUGGUAGCGGGGGAUAACUAUUGGAAACGAUAGCUAAUACCGCAUAAGAGUAGAUGUUGCAUGACAUUUGCUUAAAAGGUGCAAUUGCAUCACUACCAGAUGGACCUGCGUUGUAUUAGCUAGUUGGUGGGGUAACGGCUCACCAAGGCGACGAUACAUAGCCGACCUGAGAGGGUGAUCGGCCACACUGGGACUGAGACACGGCCCAGACUCCUACGGGAGGCAGCAGUAGGGAAUCUUCGGCAAUAGACGGAAGUCUGACCGAGCAACGCCGCGGGAGUGAAGAAGGUUUUCGGAUCGUAAAGCUCUGUUGUAAGAGAAGAACGAGUGUGAGAGUGGAAAGUUCACACUGUGACGGUAUCUUACCAGAAAGGGACGGCUAACUACGUG
rnacentral:rRNA from 1 species